ACGCCCACGCACACACACUCGUCAUGCACAUGCGCACAGCCCUGCCUACCCUUCGCUCUCAGCUAGGCAAGUAGAACUGGUCCUAGUCGUUUGGGCUCGUUUGGGGUUCGCUCUGGAGCUUUUAAUAUCCAAAGGAAUCUUUGUUCUCGCCAUGGAGCCAUUGCUCAUCUCAUUUAGCUCUUACGUAAGACAUGCUUUGGAUCUGAUAUGUGGGGGAAAAAAAACAUUACCCAUUUUACUCGUUUUGAAUAAGCUAAAAAUAACCCUCCUCCCCAUUUCCUGGAGCCAAUAAAGACCGCUUGGAAUGAAUAGAGGAAAGAAAGACACGGAAUGUGAAAAAGAGCCGAGUCUGGGCAUACAGAAACCUGGGUUCAAAGCCUGGCUCUGCCCCUCGUCUGUUGUGCGACCCAGACAAGUCACUCGGGCACCUCAUCCACCAAACGAGAAGGUUGUGCCGGAACCUCUGGCCUUUGAGAUGCCUGCGGCUCUGACAUCCUGCUUUUCUGUGAAAAGUAAGACGGGGAAUUGAAGCAUCUUAUUUUGCUAGCCAUCCAGGAGAUGAGUCAUUUUUAUUAUUCAGAAACUUUUCCAAAUUAAUUUUGACGUGGUCCUGUGUGGUAAGAAAUAGCUAAUGUCUUCUCUCCUCCCGUUCCUGUUCUAGUGUCUAGAAAUAGUCAUUCAGACUCACGGUCUCCCCUUUUCAACUCCUGCCACCCUCCCUGCCGUGCAGUUUCUGACUCCCCUAUCCUUUGUAACUGAUCCUGUUAAGGUCACUGUCACCUCCUGUGGUCGAAUCAACAGGCAUGUCCCAGUCCUUUUCCUACCUUGACUUCUUCUCAGGAACAUUUCGCCAUAGGUGACCAUCUCUCUUUCUUGAGAUACUCUCUUCCCUAGGGCUGAGAGGGAAAAUGACUUUUCCCUCGCAGAGCCCUGAGUGCCAACGCCAGGAUUUGUACCCAUGAUGUUAGUGCCAAAGCCUGGGCCUCAAUGCUGCAGGUACCAUGUCAGCAUUUUCGGUGAUUUGCCUUCCCGCUGGGAUCAUUUUGCCACCACAUUCUAGAUUCUCCAGGUGAUUCAGUCCUUCACUCAUCCAUCAAUGACUUGUCAACAGCCAACUCUUUACCAGGCACCAGAUGAUGAGAUGGGGGUAUAGCCAGACCAGCAUGACCCCCCGCUCUCCCAGCAUUUAUAAUUCAGAAGAGUCAGGCAUUAAACAGAUGGAGGUUUUGGAGUGGCUUGGGGAAGCCGAUGAAGACUCUGGAGGAACUAAGCCCUUCCCAUGCCUCCCCCUGCCCCCCAUGAACACCACCCCUGGGGCCAGGUCCAGAGGAGGCCGCGGCUGGACCAUUUCAGGGCCUACAAGGGGCCAGACUUCCUUGUGGAGGGCAAGCACUCGUAUCAUUACGAAGCCCUCAGAGCCCUCGGAGGUGACUUGGUCCCCCUCUUCCACGCACAGAUGAGGAACCCGAGGCUGGCGAGCUGUAGGGACUCCCUGGCAGGCUCAUGCGACCGCUACCUUAAUUGAGGCUAAUGUCCAGAACGACUAGAUGAGUGGCCAUCCUCCCCCAAGCUGGUCAAACUGUACCCGGAAUGCUGUGUUCUGGAAGCCAGCCCUUAACAGGAACACCAAGAAACAGAAAGACGUCUGGAGGCGACAUAGGCUGGGGUCUGGACACCCUGUCCCAUGAAGAAAGAAUCACAGCUAAACACCAUGGAGAAGGGCAAAAUCUGGGGUACUCUGUGCUGACUGUCCUAGAUGACUCCUCUGGCAUUGUCACAGGAUGGCCAGCAGCCUCAUGGUCACAAGAUGGCUGCCGACACCUCUCUGAGCUAUAUCCUUCUAGGUUUAAAUCAAAUAGAAGUAAACAAGAGCUUGUGUCUGAGCAUCUCCACGAAAGUUCUGAGAUUCACUCUGGUCAGACCGGCUUAGAUCACACGCUGACCCUUGAGCCGAUGGUUGUGCUCACUGACUUGGACCUCAUGCGUGAGCUCUCCUGGAACCAUGUGGACCACAGAGACUAAGAGGGGAAGGGGCAGAUCCCAAAGAAACACAGUGGCUCUUGCCAGAGUGAAGGGAAACGUGCCAAGGAGACAAACCACAUCUUCCAGCUUUGUGGCCAGCACGGAAAGAGCAGGCUGGGGGAAGAAAAGACCCGAGUGUGGGCUGGAAUGAGUUGUGCGGCAGCGUUGGCACAACCACGGGGAAGUGCUCGGCAGGCGGAAGGGUGGGGGAAGACCCCGAGUGCAGGUGGUGAGAGAUAGGCUUCAGAAGGCAGGUGGCGCUGUGGACUUUGGAGCCAUUCUGGACCCCCUGCCUCAGGAACAGCAAGUCCGGCCUGUCGCGAAGGUCUCUCCGUCCCUUCGCGCUUCGGGAUUUGGCGGCGGAGCGGCGGCUGCUGUCCUGCGCCAGCUCCAUCUGACUACACUAGGUGGCUUUGUACCCUCCUCUCCCUUGGUUGAUAUCAGGACGUGAAUAUGUUUAACGGUGACAUGAGCCACUGAUGCUGCAAAGGAACAAGAUGCAUGCCAGGCCUCGGUGCCAGGCCAUGAUGUGAGACAGCCAGGGUCCUUCGGGGCUGAUGGGCAUGCACAGGGGAUCACAGGCUGACCCCUCACUAGGAGUCAGAGGGACAAAUAACUCCAAAGGGGGGGCGAUGUUGGUGACUCCUCUUGCCUCUCUCUCUCUCUCUCUCUCUCUCUCUCUCUCUCUCUCUCUCUCUCUUUUAAAUGUUUUUUUAU